UGAGAGUGGCGAACGGGUGAGUAAUAUAUCGGAACGUGCCCAGUCGUGGGGGAUAACGUAGCGAAAGUUAUGCUAAUACCGCAUACGAUCUAUGGAUGAAAGCGGGGGACCGUAAGGCCUCGCGCGAUUGGAGCGGCCGAUGUUAGAUUAGGUAGUUGGUGAGGUAAAGGCUCACCAAGCCUACGAUCUAUAGCUGGUCUGAGAGGACGACCAGCCACACUGGAACUGAGACACGGUCCAGACUCC
rnacentral:rRNA from 1 species